rnacentral:rRNA from 1 species
GUCCCGUAACGAGCGCAACCCUUGUCCUUAGUUACCAGCACGUUAUGGUGGGCACUCUAAGGAGACUGCCGGUGACAAACCGGAGGAGGGUGGGGAUGACGUCAAGUCAUCAUGGCCCUUACGGCCUGGGCUACACACGUGCUACAAUGGUCGGUACAAAGGGUUGCCAAGCCGCGAGGUGGAGCUAAAUCCCCAUAAAAACCGAUCGUAGUCCGGAUCGCAGUCUGCAACUCGACUGCGUGAAGUCGGAAUCGCUAGUAAUCGUGAAUCAGAAUGUCACGGUGAAUACGUUCCCGGGCCUU